ACAUGAAAAGAUGCUCAACAUCACUAAUUAUCAAGGAAAUGCAAAUCAAAACCACAAUGAGAAUCUAGACUGGAUCACUGGACAAAAAAUGUAAUUUCACUGUUUUCUGACCUCCAUUAUAACUAGUGAAAGUAAGUUAUUAGUCUUCUACUGCUCUGAAUACAGUAUGUCAGGAUCUCUGGAUGCUUUUAAGAAGUUAAAAGAGCCAGUAAUCAAUAAUCACACCAUUCUCCCUGAGAAGGAAAAGAGCUUGUGCCUUCUAUUUGAAGAAACUAAGGCAAUAAGAUGCAACAGAUUUGCUUAAGAAAACUAAUUCUCUAUCAAUUCUUUAGCAAAAAGAUCUACAGCAGAGAGAACAGGUCAGCCACAAAUCAUCAAGGGAGGUCUGGAAUUAUCCUCCAUCAAAUUGGCCUCCACCUGACGGCUUAUAAUAACCCAUCAAAUAUUUUAUUACAAGGAUUUUUUAAAAGUCUUCUAUGCUAUCAGAAAGAAAACACCUAAUAACAUUGGUUUGUGCCUAAAUGUUGCAAAGAUAAAAUUGUUUGCACUGUAAAUCAUAUUGGUGUUUUAACAGUUUACCUCAAAUUUGUGAAUGAAAUAAAGUUUAUA